GAUGAAGAACGUAGUGAAAUGCGAUACGUAAUGUGAAUUGCAGAAUUCAGUGAAUCAUCGAAUCUUUGAACGCACAUUGCGCCUGCCAGCACUCUGGCAGGCAUGCCUGUUCGAGCGUCAUUUCAACCAUCAAGCCCUAGGCUUGCGUUGGAGCCCUGCGGCUGCCGCAGGCCCCUAACAGCAGUGGCGGGCUCGCUAUCACACCGAGUGCAGUAGAUUACUCUUCGCUCAGGGCGUGUGGCGGGUUCCAGCCGUGAAACCCCCUACUUCUCAAGGUUGACCUCGGAUCAGGUAGGAAUACCCGCUGAACUUAAGCAUAUCAAUAAGCGGAGGA
rnacentral:misc_RNA from 1 species